CGUAGACGACAAGCAGUGUCAGUGUUGUGUUUCAGGGGAAUAUGUUAGGGGAGACGAAAAAUUGUUUUGGCAUUAAGCUCCCGCCACGUUUCAACACUAUUACCGUUUGCUUGAGCUUAUGAAUCAAUUUGUGAUUGUCUUGUAAUUGUGUUGCAACUGCGAGAACGUUGUAGUAUUUUAAUGAUAUUGAACAGACACACCAGUGUUUUCAUUCUAAAUAUAAACAAUUGUUCACCCUUGGAGAUUUUAAUGAUGGAUUGGGACAGCAUGUGAAUUGCGUAUUUUCUGAGGGUAUAAGUUUUAGGAACUUAGAAGUGCAGUAAUGGACUACAAUAAACCUGUUUGGAUUGGAAAAGAGGGAACAAAUGAAGUAUGUACUGAUCCAGACUUUGUGUUUUUUCUGCAUGUGAGGUCCGCCCCCAGUAGCUGAGUGGUCAGCGCGACAGAAUGUCAAUCCUAAGGGCCCGGGUUCGAUUCCCAGCUGGGUCGGAGAUUUCCUCUGCUCAGGGACUGGGUGUUGUGUUGUUCUAAUUAUCAUUUCAUCCCCAUCGACGCGCAAGUUGCUGAAGUGGCGUCAAAUCAAAAGACUUGCACGUGGCAAACGGUCUACCCGACGGGAGGCCCUAGUCACAUGACACUUACUUCUGCAUGUGAGGGUGCUUUGGAUCUUUCUAUUUCAGUUUCAGUAAUUCGAUCUCAUGGUAAUGAUUUUUUAAUUCUUUUGGUUUAUCUUUAAAGUAUUUAUGAUUGUUUUUUGAUCCCGUGUUGUUUCUUAAACAAUUGUUGAUGGUUGGUUCAGCCUUUGAUAUUUCUGUCAAGUUUUAUUUUUAUGAUUUGUGUAUAUUCAUAUGUUGAUUUGAAUAUAAGUAUAUAUUAUUUUGCUGUU